rnacentral:rRNA from 1 species
UACGUAGGGUGCGAGCGUUGUCCAGAAUUAUUGGGCGUAAAGAGCUCGUAGGCGGCUUGUCGCGUCGGAUGUGAAAGCCCGGGGCUUAACUCCGGGUCUGCAUUCGAUACGGGCAGGCUAGAGUUCGGUAGGGGAGAUCGGAAUUCCUGGUGUAGCGGUGAAAUGCGCAGAUAUCAGGAGGAACACCGGUGGCGAAGGCGGGUCUCUGGGCCGAUACUGACGCUGAGGAGCGAAAGCGUGGGGAGCGAACAGG